rnacentral:rRNA from 1 species
UAGAAUUCCAGGUGUAGCGGUGAAAUGCGUAGAGAUCUGGAGGAAUACCGGUGGCGAAGGCGGCCUCCUGGACGAAGACUGACGCUCAGGUGCGAAAGCGUGGGGAGCAAACAGGAUUAGAUACCCUGGUAGUCCACGCCGUAAACGAUGUCGAUUUGGAGGUUGUGCCCUUGAGGCGUGGCUUCCGGAGCUAACGCGUUAAAUCGACCGCCUGGGGAGUACGGCCGCAAGGUUAAAACUCAAAUGAAUUGACGGGGGCCCGCACAAGCGGUGGAGCAUGUGGUUUAAUUCGAUGCAACGCGAAGAACCUUACCUGGUCUUGACAUCCACAGAACCUGGCAGAGAUGCCGGGGUGCCUUCGGGAACUGUGAGACAGGUGCUGCAUGGCUGUCGUCAGCUCGUGUUGUGAAAUGUUGGGUUAAGUCCCGCAACGAGCGCAACCCUUAUCCUUUGUUGCCAGCGGUCCGGCCGGGAACUCAAAGGAGACUGCCAGUGAUAAACUGGAGGAAGGUGGGGAUGAAGUCAAGUCAUCAUGGCCCUUACGACCAGGGCUAUACACGUGCUACAAUGGCGCAUACAACGAGAAGCGACCUCGCGGGAGCAAGCGGACCUCAUAAAGUGCGUCGUAGUCCGGAUUGGAGUCUGCAACUCGACUCCAUGAAGUCGGAAUCGCUAGUAAUCGUGAAUCAGAAUGUCACGGUGAAUACGUUCCC